UUCAAGAUCGUGUGCUCUUUACGCCUCUCAGAGCCGACCAGCGACGUUUCCGAUGUCCAACAGCAUCGUGGCUCGAUAAACGUCGAAUUUAUACGAAACGAGUGCAUCAAUUAUUUUCGCCUGUCCCUCCCGCGGAGAAAAAGUGGUCCUAGGAAAUUGAAUAUUUAAGGUGCCCUCUCGUUUCUCCUGGGAGGAAAUGUCCUAACUUCUGAACGGAGAUGUACGUAUAACUUGUGGAAUAUAUUUAUGAUAAAGAUCGCAACUUUUCACGAUGUGUAUAUAUUAAGAAGUGAAAGAUCAGAGUUUUUUAAUUCCUAGGGAAUUGAAGGUAUUUU